CUGACACAUGAUGAAAGUAAACACAGAAUAUUAAGACAUGGAACUGGAUUUCAAGAUGAGCGGUCUCCAUGGAAGAAGACGCCACAGCAUCCUAUGAAAUUUUGUUUUAAGGUUUAAGGUUACCUUCAUUAUUGUCAAGAACACGCUUCCAUCUCUGGCUCUGCAGCAUGAACACUCUUCCAGUUAAGUGAAUAUAGUUGCUUGAGAAAAAUCACCGGGACUUCAAGACGAUAUUCGCAGUCUCCUGAAAACAAAGUACUCUAUGAGUAGGCAGAGUUUAGACAAUGACAACAUGCCAGGAGGCAACAUUUAUCUGGCAUGCAUCUUUAAGCCCAUCCCAAGAACUCUGGCUGGUGAUUUUGUAAAGCAAAAGAUUUAGGGAGCCACUGCCUGGAUGCACUUGGGUUCCCUGGAAAACAUUAAAGAUAAUCCUGCAUGAAAGGAGGGAUGAGCCAGCCUCCCUAAAUCAUCAUGAUCAAUGAGGGUGUCACCUUCAAAAUUCAUUUCAAUUUUUCUGAAUUACCUGUAGCCAAGAAGAAUAAAUUUCGAUAAAAGCCCUGAUCAUUUUUGUUACGAUCUUUUGGACCCUCUCCAAGUAAUCUGAACGUCUGUGCAAACUAGAGAGUCACUGUGACAAAUCCCCUUGUGCACCUGAGCCUAACGAGAUCCCUGGAAAGAAGAGAAGUUACGUGUAAUGAUAGAAUAAGAAUACAAUAGUCUUCUCUACACUAAAACAUUACCAAGCAAAGAAAGACAUUAUGACCCAGGAGAUGGAGAACAAAGGAGAAAGUACCUAAAGGGGCUUUGUGUGCUGAAAACCAACCUCUGCUUUUUAAAAUGCUUUGCAGGGCGCCUGGGUGGCUCAGUUGCUUAAGGGUCGGACUCUUGACUUCAGUUCAUUCAGGUCAUGGUCUCGCGGUUUGUGACUUCGAAC